UCCCCCUUACACAGGUAUACUUAAUGCAACAUUAGUUUCGGUUUGCCACGCCAUUUAGAAAUUAGUUGCACCAAUAAAAAUAAACAAGAAAUUACUAUUGAUUUGAUUUAAAUAUGCGCACAGGCUUCAAAAUCUAUAUUACUUGGCAAAUAGUUUCAUUCAAUCUAACAACAAUAUGACGCUUACUAUUGCAACACCUUUGCUUUUAUUACUUGCACUCAUAGGAAUGCUGUUAAUUCAGCAAUCUGUGGCUGGAAACUGCCGAGGGCGCGAUUGGGAUCCAUCAUGCAGAAUAUAAUUUGGGAACAGCUGCUCACAUAAUAGAAUUUUUAAACAAAACAAAAUGUGGCAAAACGAUCUUUUUACGAAAAUAAAUG